UACGGAGGGUGCAAGCGUUAUCCGGAAUCACUGGGUUUAAAGGGUGCGUAGGCGGUCUGAUAAGUCAGUUGUGAAAUUCCUCGGCUUAACCGAGUGGACUGCGAUUGAUACUGUCAGACUUGAAUCAGGUUGAGGUAGGCGGAAUGUGACAUGUAGCGGUGAAAUGCUUAGAUAUGUCAUAGAACACCGAUUGCGAAGGCAGCUUGCUGGGCUUAGAUUGACGCUGAGGAGCGAAAGCGUGGGGAGCGAACAGG
rnacentral:rRNA from 1 species